AUGUUGGAUAAAACAUCUCUUUCCUUGGAGAGAUUAAAAACUAAGUGCCUCAGCGACCUAGCUGAGUGGCUGCUUCAACGACAGACUUUUCCUCUUGCCCUUGCUUGGCUGGUAGUUCAAGCAGAUUUGGGUCUAUCUGUAUCUUCAGCUUUGCUAAAAUCAAGAUACUGCCUUUUCAUGGCUGGAGCUCUCAGCGGGAGGAGGAAGUCUGUUCUCUUAUCCAGGCCAGGAGGAAAGACCAGGGCCAUACUAUGGCUUCUUAGGUUACCAAUGAGCAUUCUGUUAGAAGAGAAGAAGAUAAAGGGAUUCCCUUUUCUUGCCUGCAGUAGACAAAGAAGAUAGUCAAAGAAGAGGAUUGCUCUCUGCAAGGUACCUGUUGUAGUUACUUUUUAUCAUUGCUGAGCCAAAUAACUGACACCCACAGUUAAAGGAGGAAAGAUUUAUUUCAGCUCACAGAUUGUAGUGGUUUCAGCUCAUAGUUGGCUGGCUCCAAAGCAGGGUGGCAUGGCAGAGGAGAAACAGUCCAUGGCAAGCAGGCAGGAGAUAGUGAAGCAGCAGGCAGCACCAGUAGUGUGCUUUCCCUUUCCCUUUAUAUUCCAUCCAAACUAUAAGCCUGUUGAUGGUACCACCCACAUCCAGAGUGAGGCUUCCACUAUCCACAGCCUAAAUUCCACUAUUGCACCCCGAAUCCACAUUUACACACUCUGAUUCAUCUGCUUUUGAAACUUGCCACCUAUGACUACAUGAGGCUUUGGGGGACAUGUAAAUACAAGCCAUAACAGCACCUAAAUUUGUCCUUUUCCUUUGGUCUAAGAGUAUGUUAAGAGCUGGGUGAUACGAGAGCUCUGGGCCUUGUGCUUCCUCCCUAGUUGUCCAGAAC
rnacentral:lncRNA from 1 species